GUACUUGCCUCGUGAGAGAGAGAGAGUGUGUGUGUGUGCGUGUGUGUUCGUGUGUGCACGCACAUG
rnacentral:miRNA from 1 species